UGCUUUUUUUUCCUUUUCUUUUCUUUCUUUUCUUUUUUUUUUAGCUGGAUCGACCUCGAUUCCUCUUAUCCACUCACAAUAAACCUCAGCAGUUUACCGGACAGCACUCCACAAGUGCACUGAUUCGGACUCAACCUCAGUCUAAGUUGUCUCGAUCCGGUCAAACAACUUGGCCAGAUCCACCAGAUGCCCCUUUUCCGUUUGGGACUUUGCUAUCAUGUCAUCAACAUAGCAUUCAAUUUCAUGACGAAUCAUAUCAUGAAACAAAGUCACUCUGAUACGUGGCAUCGGCG
rnacentral:lncRNA from 1 species